CAGAAGGUACGCUGGGAGAGAGACUAGAGGAGCCUCUGAAACACACACAGUCCAACAGUUUGUUUCACUGUGUUUGUGCAUAGUUUGUUUAAUAGAGAACACCACAAUAGAUAGGGAUACUUAAUAAGGCAGAAAGCAGAGCUUCAACAUUUAGAUUUGCACACUCAAUUUUAUAUUCUAAAACAUUUGCUUAUGCCGUUUUCCGGAAUUUCGAUGAAGUGAGCAAGCGCAGCAGAAUAAGCUUCACCUCUUAGGCAACUGUAAAGUUGGAAGAACUACAGUGUCAAGGGGCUAAUGUAUGGUGGGCUUUGCACUUGUUAAUGUGCAAUAUUGAUUUCUAGUUUAGCUGACCCCAUAAUUUAAAAAAAAAAAAGAAAAAAAGAAAAAUGUAUCCCACUUCUCACAAUGUAAGACAACCAUGUUGAGAGUAAUUGCAAGGGUCUAAUGUGGCAACAUUGGACAGUAUUUUGUGAUAAUUUCCCACUGGCUCCUAUAUUUACUUAAUGCUGUAACUUUAGUCAAUACAAGGUGAGUGUGGGUUUUAGGUUAUGGAUUAGGCAAUAUGGUCUAAGACUUAGAAUAGGGAUUGUUUACCAACUUUAAAGCAUGCUGGAAAAAAUUUGAUAUCAUAAAAUGUUUCCUUU